AGAGCGAACGCUGGCGGCAGGCUUAACACAUGCAAGUCGAGCGGGCGUAGCAAUGCGUCAGCGGCAGACGGGUGAGUAACGCGUGGGAACGUACCUUUUGGUUCGGAACAACCCAGGGAAACUUGGGCUAAUACCGGAUAAGCCCUUACGGGGAAAGAUUUAUCGCCGAAAGAUCGGCCCGCGUCUGAUUAGCUAGUUGGUGAGGUAAUGGCUCACCAAGGCGACGAUCAGUAGCUGGUCUGAGAGGAUGAUCAGCCACAUUGGGACUGAGACACGGCCCAAACUCCUACGGGAGGCAGCAGUGGGAAUAUUGGACAAUGGGCGCAAGCCUGAUCCAGCCAUGCCGCGUGAGUGAUGAAGGCCCUAGGGUUGUAAAGCUCUUUUGUGCGGGAAGAUAAUGACGGUACCGCAAGAAUAAGCCCCGGCUAACUUCGUGCCAGCAGCCGC
rnacentral:rRNA from 1 species